GACGUAGGGCGCGAGCGUUGUCCGGAUUUAUUGGGCGUAAAGAGCUCGUAGGCGGCUUGUCGCGUCGACUGUGAAAACCCGCGGCUCAACUGCGGGCUUGCAGCCGAUACGGGCAGGCUAGAGUUCGGUAGGGGAGACUGGAAUUCCUGGUGUAGCGGUGAAAUGCGCAGAUAUCAUCUGGAACGCCAAUGGUGAAAACAGGUAGCUGGGAGUGUGCUGACGCUGAGACACGAAAGCCAGGGGAGCGAACGGG
rnacentral:rRNA from 1 species